ACAGCCUAGAAGCCAUAUGAGAAACUUGAGCCUGCAUCUGAACAGCCUUAACCUUUGACGCCGUGGCACGAUGAAUGAAUUGUUCACGCGACAACAACCUUACAUUCCUCAAGUACUGAUCAAAAGGAAUUGCCCCAUCUUGUAUAGCUUUAUCCAACGAAUAAAUCACAUCCUCCAUAGCUAAAUCCGAGGCUGUACAAUCCAACAUCUGUUUCGAAAGUCUAUCACAAAGCUCAAACGCCUCGUCCACAUCCACAUUCCCUAUUUUCUUAACUUUCGUUUCGUUAUCUCUAACCCACCCUUCCAACACAUCAGCAUUCAUCAAAACCAUCAGUAAUUGCUGCUCUAACCCCUCCUUUUCAUCCAGCAUUUCCUUAACACCUUUCCUCAACUCCUCCUCACGACGCCUCAACACUCCUUGUGCAUUAAACAACCCUUCCAUAUCCGACUCCCUCGCCUUCCCCAACCCUUCAAUAUCACUAUGCAAUUUCAGCAUAAGCUCAUCUAUUGCAUUUUUCUUAUCCACCUCCGACGGAUCAUCCAUUUUCCUCCUCACUACCCCACCACUCCCACUCCCAUAAGGUGAUGGUGGAUACACCCGAGGUGGUAUCGCAG
rnacentral:misc_RNA from 1 species